UAGGGAAUCUUCCACAAUGGGCGCAAGCCUGAUGGAGCAACACCGCGUGAGUGAAGAAGGGUUUCGGCUCGUAAAGCUCUGUUGUUGGAGAAGAACGUGCGUGAGAGUAACUGUUCACACAGUGACGGUAUCCAACCAGAAAGUCACGGCUAACUACGUG
rnacentral:rRNA from 1 species